UUAAGUGCUGCACAAGAAGCUAAUGAGGAGGCAUCAUGCGGUAGAGCAGCUGCAAGUGAAGUGUGAACAGAGGUUGCUGAGAACUCUUCCUGGGUUCGAUGUUUGGAAAACAGCAUAAAUACAGGGAUAUCACACUGAGGUUCUGAAACCUUGGAGUUUUGCAUCAAUCAUUGGGCUUUUGAAUCAACAAUAACGGGUCUGACAGUUGUGAGCUACAUCAGACUUAACAUUGGGUGCAGCGCCUCUACUCUACUACUUAAAAAGGCGAGCCUAAGAACGUGCCCACUCCUUACUUACACAGCACACAGAGCACGCCACAACCAAGGACGCUGCAAGUUCACUGAGCGUGUGCACCCACUCUGUGAACUCCGUCACCCCGGUACAACCUGGGCUCAGAUUUUAAAAUGGCAAUAUUUUCUUUUUCACAGGGUCCCGUCUUCCCUGACAGCGUCCUGUAACUCAUUGGAAUUCAGCUCAGCUCGGUUUCACUCAUCGGCCCACGCUGGACGGCGCAUGCAGGCGGUGGCCAGGUGUCCGCUCUUCCUCCGAGGCUCAGUGCACACGGCUCCGCACUCUCUCUCUCUGCGCAAAGUGAGAGCUCACCUAGCCUUUCAGCACUGCUGACACACGAGAAAGGACCUCUUUGUUUGAACAACUCGGGGGCUCUUUUAAAAUGGGGUUUUGUUACAGAAUGAAAUGUUUCAAAAUAAAAGAACAUGCAUCUAUAAUUCUGGUGAAUGAUUCUGUACAAAUGCAUCAAGGCCUAAAAAACACAACCCUUCAACAAGUGUUGCGGCACUGGGUGGACUGAUAUGGUAUGAAUUUCCGAUUAUAUACAGUAUAUAGUAAAAGUUUUGGAAUGCAUUGGGGUAGAUUCAUUAAACAUUUACUAUCAUGAUCCUUUUUGUCCUUUUGUAUUAUUUUUAAAUAGAAUAUUAAAAUGGAAAGUUUCUGAUGUUUUAUUUGUUAAGAGUAUGAUUAAAUUUUUCUGUCUAUAUGUAAUUGCUGAAUAAAGGCCCAAUUAAAACAACAUGAUGUGUUGUUUAUAAAUAUAGCAGCCUAAUGUGAUGAUCCAAACAAAGCAGUUUAAAAUAAUUUUCCCAACAUGAGUAAUCUGAAGCAAGGUUCACAAAUAGAGCUGCUCAAUGUGAGGUUGCCAAAGAAACUAUAUCAAUCAAAUGUAAUAAUGUUCCUAUUUAAAUAGGAGCAAUUUGAUGUUUAUAGCAAUUUAGAUGUGUUUUUCUGUUUAGGAACGUUCUAUUAUAUUCAAUUAGGACGAAUUGCAUUAAUAGGUGCUUCGUAAGCUCUGCAGAUCACAGUAAGGCUCCAAAUCAGAUUGGAAAUGCAAUUAAAAACUUUUAAUUUGAGCCACCCUAUACAUUGUGGUUUAGUCUGGCGCAGUUAGGAUCACUAUAUUCAUUUGAUUUUACCUUUGAUAAGGAUGAGAACAACUAAAUAAUCACAAUAGUUCAUUUCUUAUCUAAAACCUAAAAGAAAAGAAUUGGGAAAUGCACAAAGUAGAAAAAUAGAUCAAAAGCAACAGGUAUAUAUAAUGGUGUGCAAUGCAGUUAAAAUUACAUAUCUAAUGAUCUAUCCUCACAGACUUGAUUACACUAGCAAAUCAUAACAAAUGUACACACAUCUGAAUUGCUGAAUAUUUCAGUUUGUCAAAUUUAAUUCCUAAUGCUUUUCUUUAAACUACAUCAUUAUGUUUCAGCUUGUACAAUGAUGUCCUAACACCUUUCAUUCAGAAUUAACAUGUGAGAAACUUGUUUCAUACAAUAGGUGACAUGUGUGAUUCAUAGAUAUUAAAAAAAAGAAAAACAUGCUUUGAUUUAUGGGGACAGUGGAGUCUUUACA